rnacentral:rRNA from 1 species
ACGAGAGGGCCGCUACCACGCGAGUGGAUGCCAAUCCCUAAAACCCCUCUCAGUUCGGACUGGAGUCUGCAACCCGACUCCACGAAGCUGGAUUCGCUAGUAAUCGCGCAUCAGCCACGGCGCGGUGAAUACGUUCCCGGGCCUUGUACACACCGCCCGUCAAGCCAUGGGAGCCGGGGGUACCUGAAGUGCGUAACCGCGAGGAUCGCCCUAGGGUAAAACUGGUGACUGGGGCUAAGUCGUAACAAGGUAGC